rnacentral:rRNA from 1 species
CCUACGGGAGGCAGCAGUGGGGAAUAUUGGGCAAUGGGCGCAAGCCUGACCCAGCAACGCCGCGUGAAGGAAGAAGGCUUUCGGGUUGUAAACUUCUUUUCUGAGGGACGAAGAAAGUGACGGUACCUCAGGUAUAAGCCACGGCUAACUACGUGCCAGCAGCCGCGGUAAUACGUAGGUGGCAAGCGUUAUCCGGAUUUUUUGGGUGUAAAGGGCGUGUAGGGGGGAAAGCAAGGUAGAUGUGAAAACUCAGGGCUCAACCCUGAGCCUGGAUUUGAAACUGUUUUUCUUGAGUGCUGGAGAGGCAAUCGGAAUUCCGUGUGUAGCGGUGAAAUGCGUAGAUAUACGGAGGAACACCAGUGGCGAAGGCGGAUUGCUGGAGAGUAACUGACGCUGAGGCGCGAAAGCGUGGGGAGCAAACAGGAUUAGAUACCCCUGUAGUC